rnacentral:rRNA from 1 species
UACGUAGGGGGCAAGCGUUGUCCGGAAUCAUUGGGCGUAAAGCGCGUGUAGGCGGCCCGAUAAGUCCGCUGUGAAAGUCCAGGGCUCAACCCUGGGAUGCCGGUGGAUACUGUCGGGCUCGAGUCCGGAAGAGGCGAGUGGAAUUCCUGGUGUAGCGGUGAAAGUGACGCAGAGUAUCAGGAGGAACACCAAUGGCGAAGGCAGCUCGCUGGGACGUGACUGACGCUGAGACGCGAAAGCGUGGGGAGCAAACAGG